rnacentral:rRNA from 1 species
CGUAUGGGGGCACCUGAUCUAGCCAUGCCGCGUGAGUGAUGAAGGCCUUAGGGUCGUAAAGCUCUUUCGCCUGUGAUGAUAAUGACAGUAGCAGGUAAAGAAACCCCGGCUAACUCCGUGCCAGCAGCCGCGGUAAUACGGAGGGGGUUAGCGUUGUUCGGAAUUACUGGGCGUAAAGCGCGCGUAGGCGGAUUAGAAAGUUGGGGGUGAAAUCCCGGGGCUCAACCCCGGAACUGCCUCCAAAACUGCUAGUCUAGAGUUCGAGAGAGGUGAGUGGAAUUCCGAGUGUAGAGGUGAAAUUCGUAGAUAUUCGGAGGAACACCAGUGGCGAAGGCGGCUCACUGGCUCGAUACUGACGCUGAGGUGCGAAAGUGUGGGGAGCAAACAGGAUUAGAUACCCUGGUAGUCCACACCGUAAACGAUGAAUGCCAGUCGUCGGAUAGUAUACUAUUCGGUGACACACCUAACGGAUUAAGCAUUCCGCCUGGGGAGUACGGUCGCAAGAUUAAAACUCAAAGGAAAUUGACGGA